AAUAAAAAAUUAUAAUAUAAGCUACUACAUGCAUUUAUCAGUAUGUUUUAAUAAAAUAAAAUAUAUUUCAGCAAUGUAUUCUCAAGAAGGAAGAGAUUAAUGAACCCUCCCCUCUUACAAUGAACAACACAUGGACACUCUCAGGAUGGUCCCUUUGCUUUCAUUAAGAGUUCCAAGAUGUGUGUCUGAUUGACUGGGGUGUGAAAUGUAACAGCCAAUGGUGUACCUAAGCUAAGACUGUCAGUCCCAAUGUUCAAGAGGUGAGAUAAGCAAUGGAUAUGUGUUCUAAAAAUACUAAAUUGACCACUUUUUAUAAAUGUUUCUUUUACUCUAUAGGAAAAACCCCUACAUAAACAAACACAUGGGCGCAGACAUUUUGGACACCCAAGGUUGUGCGGAGGAGAAAAUGCUAGCUGGCGCGUGAUUGGUCAAUAAGAGAAAAGACUUGUUAUGUAUUUGACAAGUGAAAUAAAGUUGAUAAAAAUCUCAUAUCAAGACUUGGGUUUCUUUGAGAUAUAUAGGAGUUACAGGUAAAAAUUUGAAGGGAGGGGUGCCCUUUGGUUAGAGAUUUUCAUUUGGUGUCAAACGCACCUUGUUGUAAACAAAUGGAAAUUGAAAGUAAAAGUGCCGCGUGACGGUAUAUUUUUUCUGGCAUGUUUUGUUUUCCAAUAUCUCGAACUUUCACGACAAAAAGGCCAUUUGCCCGAAAUUCAAUAUAUGUAUGAGUGACAGGGGCUGAAGUUUGUAUGGAAGUCUAUGGAAAAACAUUUAGCGGUGUUUGUCCUAUAGAAUAGCAAUGUAUUCUCAAGAAGGAAGAGAUUAAUGAACCCUCCCCUCUUACAAUGAACAACACAUGGACACUCUCAGGAUGGUCCCUUUGCUUUCAUUAAGAGUUCCAAGGUAUGGUUUUCCUAGCCAAUCUAGUUAAUCUAUGAAUAUUUAAGUUAUUUAGAACUUUUUAUAGAUUAUUAGAAAAUAAAUUUCUUCAGAACUGCAGUUAUUUAAGCACUUUGCUUACAAUUGAGCACUGUAUUCAAUAAGACAAUAU